UGAAUUAGGGACAUACUGAAAAUGGGUAAGA
rnacentral:piRNA from 1 species